AUGGACUUUCCCAAUAUCGAAAUACCUCGACUUUUUCAGAAUAGGUCCGAGUAAAAUAGCAAUGAUUCGAACCACUUCUUUUUCUAUUACACUAUUUCGGAAACCUAA
rnacentral:rRNA from 1 species